ACCACUUAAUUGCCAGGCAGUGGUGGUGCACCCCUUUAAUCCCAGCAGGAGACUGGGAGGUAGAAGCUGAAGGAGCUCUACAUUUGAGGCCUAGACUCAAGCUCCAGGUCCGCUGGGGCUACAGAACAGGGAGGAGGGCGACAGGAAGAAAGGAAGGAGGGAGGGAGGGAAUUCAUUGAAUUGGCUAUGGUUUCAUAUGCUUAUCAUUCAUAAGGUUGCAGAAGGAGAGGCAGCUUACUAGUGCCAGCCACCACUGGCCCACAGGGCCUUGCCCACAUGACUCCCACCAGAGGCUCCAGGCUCUACACUCAGAGGCACCCUCGAAUCUAUCCUAACGAUCAUUUGGAAUGUGUCCUAUAUCCGGCAGCCAUUAGAAGUGUGGCCCUUGGGUGCAGGGCUACAACUGUAGGAGUUCUGCUAACCAUCUUUAAAGUCUUGGGCCUUGGGAUAUCCUUUUUCCAUUUGGUGAAGACAUAGGGACCGCAGGAGUGGUCCAGGGGUCCCAGUUGGGUAGUCUUCCCACCUAAUGCUUUUCCUUCUGAUCUGUUGCUUUCCUGUCCAUCCCACAAAUGAUCAAUCUUUCAAUUUCAGCAACACUGCCAAGGCCCUCUGUGCAUUCCUCCCUGGUCUUUCCCUUCCUCUUUUUCUCCAUCCAUCCUGCUCGUCAUACACUAACACCAUAUUCCAUUGCUUUAGCCUAGGCUGUGUAGUCAGAGUUGGCCUAUCUGGUUCGGAGAAGUCUCCUUCUGUUCCAUACCCACCUUGUCGGGUUACCACCCCUGGGGCAGACCCAGAUGGUCAUGCCUUUCUGACCUGUGCAUGUCAGCUCUUGCCCCUUCAUGAUCUAAGCACUUCACCCAACCUUCGAUGUAUAUAGGGAGGUUGGAGUCCUGGGUAACCAGGUGUCCACCUCGGCCAUACACCUAGUGUUCUUGGCGGGGACCACAGUGCAGGCGAGGACCACAGGGAGGCAGCAUAAGCUCGCAGGCCAGCCGCAGCCGCCCCCUCCCCAGCUUCCACUCCUUUCCCCCUAACUUGCUUUAAGCUCCACAGGAAGAACCGAGGUCAUCAGGUCCAGGCUGGGCAAGGCUCGUCCGGUACCCAGAGAGCCAGUUUUGCCCCGUCCCCACGCCCUGUCCCUGUCCCUCCUUGCCGAAGGGGAACCCUGCCUGCUCGCGGGGAGGUGACCGGAGAUCUCUGCUCCUGUUUGGUCAGGACCAGACUCUGCUUGGGUCUCAUCCAACCUCCUUGUCUUGGGGAUGGCGGCAGUGUCACUCGCAGCCCUGCACACGAGUACCGAGAGUACCCGAGCCACUAAGAGAAGCGUCUGGGGGGAGGGGGGAGGGCACAGGCAGGUCCUAAGUAGCUACGGGUCCCAGGCCGUGACCUCGAGCAGACGACAGCUGGUCUCUGCCCUCAUACCGAGCCGGGCAGUGGGUGCUCGGGCAGCCGGUGCGCCGGAGGGCGCCGCUCCCGGCCGCCUCGCCUGGCGGGCUCGCAGGAACUGCCCCGCUGGCUUUGAAUGUAAAGAUUCUGCCUUUGUGAGUGCUUGCCCGCCCCACCCGCCGCCGUCCUCAUUAGCAUAGCAGCUGCUCGCCGAGCGAGGACCGGCUCAGGAGAGGGCAGAGGCCUCCGGAAUGAAUGGGCCGCGGCUUUGGUGCGGGCGAAAGAAGAAAGACCGACAGACGGACGCGCAGGGGCUUCCCAGUGCUGCUUCUGGUGCCCAGUCCUUGUCCAGGUCCUCUCAGUGCCUCUUGGCUUGUGCAACAGGCACAUCUGCAGCUCUGGAAGGCCAGGACAGAGAGGGGACCUGGAUCAUCUAUAACUUCUUUUCACCGGCCCUAACCUGGACCAGUUUGGGAAGAGGAUGGAAAUUUACCAGAGACUCAUCAAGUCCAUACCACUCCUGCUCCACUGCAGCAGGUACUUUGUUGAGCUGUAAGGACCACUGGCCACUGCAUUCUAGGGAAAUGGGCACCAGAGAUAUAGCAACCUUGACCUGGUCACAUCUAGGGAGCAGAGACUUCUGUCUGUUCCCACUGCACAAGUGUGCUCUGUCAUGGGAGCCAUGCCAUAGAAGUAGAGCACUCUUCCUGGAAAACUUGGGUCCUGAACACGCUGCCCACAGUACCCUUUAAGGCAAGAUGGCUGGCUCUGUGCACUCGGUGGGACUGACUAACUGGCAUUCGCGCCAUAGUUCUGAGCCCACCAAAGGGAAGGACUAUGGUGAUGUAAGCGUUCAGCAUGUGUCUACGUACCUGCCUCCUAGAGUACUGCAUUGUGAAGAGGCUUGUGCGUUCACAACAGCCCAGACAGCAUGGGUUCCUCUACAGCUCCUUCCUCAGCCAUCUUUUUUUGUGUUUUUGUUUGUCUGAGACAGGGUUUCUCUGUGUAGCUCUGGCUGUCCUGGAACUCACUGUGUAGACCAGGCUGGCCUCGAACUCAGAGAUCUGCCUGCCUCUGCUUCCUCAGUGCUUGGAUUAAAGGUCUAUGCCACCACACAGGUUUGCCAUC